UUGUUGACGGUCCUUAAUGCUCACAAUUAACUAUCAAUUAAUCAUAGAAAAGGAUCCAAAUGCAACCAACACCUAGACUUAGGGUUUUAUCUGACAGAAUUCCACGAGUUUUGGUGUUUGUCUAUUUCUGCAAGGGGUUAUCAGGAAUUAUGGAAGAAAGGCCCACACGUCGGGUUUACAUAGAGAUAUUAACGUGCCGCGCAAUUUUCUAUCAUCUAGAAGACUCCAGAAGCCACGGGACCGAAGCGGAGGCCGAGAGGACACAGGGACAGGGCGCCCGCCCACCUCUUUCCACCAAUCAGGGUGAAGUUCGGGGAUCAUGCUCCACCGACCUAAUACUUCAAGGAAAACCACACGAUCAAUGUCGGUUUGAUCCGACGGCCCAGAUUCACUUGGAGGGACUAUAAAACCAGACCCCCUGGCCCCUGGAGAUCAUACCUCUUCUACAGAAUAAAAGCUAGGGUUUCAAUUCUUCAUCCAAGUAGAGAGGAUCCCUCUAGUUCUUCUAGUUCUACCUCUAGUUCAUCUAGAUCUAGUUCUAGUUCAUCUAGUUCUAGUUCUAGUUCUUCUAGUUCUAGUUCUAGUUAGUUCUAGUUGUAAUCUAGAAAAUAGGGAGAGAGAAGAGGAGAGCGGAGGAGGAGCCAGAUCUGUCGGAUCUUCCUCAACAUUAUACUUUUGCAGCAUCUGGUUCGUUCUUCAUCGUUCUCCAGGUUCUUCAAUUCAUAAUUCCUGAGUUCUUUAAUUACUUUUAUUUACAUUCAAGUUAUUUAUUGGAUUCCCGCUUGCAUCAAGUGCUCUAGUCUUUAUAACGCUAGAGUAGUAAUUAAUAGAUUAGACGUGGUUUUUAGUCUUGCGAUUACCUGAUAUUGCACCCAAUCCUACGGAUUGUUGUGGUAGCCCUAGGGUAGUGACAGCCCUAACGGUCGACGUAUUCCACCACGUUCGGAUCGGUGUUUGUAGGACCGUAGUCAGACCUUCCUAGCCCCCUUCUCAUCUCUUUCUGAUGUCCCGAUAUAGAUAAUCUUGAAGUAAUUCUUGAUUCUUAGAUCAACUAGAGAACUCUCAGGAAACUUCCUCUCUUCCCACCAAAAAUAAUUAUAUAGUUAUCUUUGGGCGAUCUUGAUUCUUAAUUAGUACACUCACGUUCUCUGUGGAAAAUCGAUACUCUGGAAUACUCCCGGGUGAAGGCUACAUCGGUAUCCGUGCGCUUGCGGAUUUUUCUGUUUGCGUUUAAAAUACCCAACAAGCUUUCUGGCGCCGUUGCCGGGGAACGGUAGCUGCGCUAGUUUCGAACCAAGUCGUCCGUGUAUCUUUUUUCUUUUCCUUUUUUACCACACUCACCUUAUCAUUUUCACCAUACCACAUGGAUUUCACUCUAAGCAUUAAUGAGCAUGGAAUUUAUUUCAUAGCCACUCCAUUUACUCCAUGCUCAUAUGCAACAUCUUCACAAUCCAUUGGUCUCUCCAACAUCACCACAUUCGAGAUCCCCAACCCCCUCAUCCUUUCUAUUUAUAAAAACUUUAACAGGUGGUUGUCGAUGCAUAUGUUUAUAAUAAAUUUUGCAGAUCUUGUUGAGUUGAUCUUGAUAUAGGUCAGCGUAGGAGGGGAAACCACUUCACUGACAUAAAUUGAUGGUUUCCCAAGGACAAGCUUAGUGUCCUAAAACAAGCACUUAUUAGAUCAUAACAUGAAUUAUUUGCAUCAUUACCUUGUGUGUUGAGCGUAUAAGUAUAAUUGUAAAAAAUUCCUUCGGGUAUUCUUGUCACUAACCUUUCCAGGAUUGGAGCAAGAAGAUCGGAUGAAUGACAAGCACAAGGUAUGUACAACCAAUCAUCAUACAACAUUGAAUUAAAUUCAUCCAAACUUGAAUUUUGCAAAAUUCAAGCUUGGGGGAGUACUUUACAUAAAACAUCCUUUGCCAUGUUGCUAUGUUGGUUGUCCCUACCUUUGAGACAUGCUCAAUUUGUUAAAUACUAAUCACACUACUUUAUCUCUACUUGAGUAGAUCUCUAUUAAUGCUCUCAUGGUACCUUUAUUUGCUUUAGUAUAUGUCUAGGUUGGAGUAGUUUCAUUUAUCUCUUAAUUAAGCAUGGUGCUUAGUUUAGGGCUGAUGAUCUUACUUCCAAGGGAGUUUAAAUUAAGCAUGAAGCUUAGGUUAAAAUGCCCUCCUAAAUCAAAUUAGACAUGGUGUCUAGGUUGAUUUUUGAACCGAUAGUAUGCUAUAGUAGAUACUGGAUAUUUUGUUGGACUAACCCCUGCAGGAAAACUUUCAAUAUCGACCUGGGAAGUCCUGAGAUAAACUCACAUUGGAGACAAAGAGAGAGGCACAUGAAGUUUAACAAUUUACACAAGGAAGGCAUAGCUCACAAGUGAUGAUCCAUGGAGUGUGCCACAAACACGAUGCACAACCGAUAAGAAAGGAAAGCUUUCACAAGGUGAUACUGUACCAUCACUCUUCAAGUAAGGUAACAUCUUAAGGUACUUGACUAUCACUUUUAUAAGCUUCUCCUUGGUUCUGGCGUUCACAUGAGUAAAAGAGACAAACAUGUAUGAUUUACAACUCUAGAUUAACCAACCCAAUCGAUUCAACAUGUUUAGUCUUUCCAUCUUUGUGAUCCUACACUCCUAAUCAUAUGAACUAAAAUGUUGCACACUCAAUCUUUAGAAAAUGAUAGUCAUGUAAAGAAAAAAAAACAUUUACUUAGAUAGAUUAUCUUUCCAUAAGGUUAAGUGAUCUGAUCUGACAAAUGUUUUAAAUGCUACACUCAUGAUCUUAUUAUCCUUCAACUUUGUCUUGCUCACUAUGCUUAAGGUUAGAGAAGAACAAAUACACUUUUGGUUCUGUUGGUGUUUUCCACCAACAGGGCCGAUGCACUUGAUCUCUGCCUUGUCUCUAUGAGUAGGUACACUUCGAGCAAAAUAUGAAGGAGUUUUACAACUCCCAGACACCACCAAGUGAAGAACCUAGAUCUACGAGCACAAACACACUGGAGAUACUGGACACUCAAGCAAUCACUGCCCUAAGAUGCUUGAGGACGUAACUACUGGAGUAACCCCGUUGUGGAAGUAAUUACUGACCUUCUGCCGGUCAAGAGAGGCGAUCCAGGACGCCCCGUCAUCCCGAUCUCCAUCGGCAUGGUGGACUUCCCAGAAGCACUCUGCGACUUUGGCUCCAGCGUCAACAUUAUGCCCAGGCUUGCUGUUGACACCGUUUUUGGGCACGUGUAUAGGAUGACGGGAUAAGGUGGCAGUAUGCUGUUUACAGGAUGAGUUGCCGAUGAAGACAGUUGCCGAUGAAGGAGAGGUUGAAUGUGACUAGGUCCGCGGGCAGUAAUGUGUUUAUGCCGAUGGCUAUAAUGGGGGAGUCUGCCGAUGACCAUGGUAAGAAGUCUGCCGAUGACCAUGGUAAGGAGUCUGCCGAUGAUACGGAGGAGGAGUCCGGGAACUGUUGAUCGGUUUAUGGAAGAGUUUUAGUUCGUCACGGGAGAUAAUUUUGUUAUUUCCUUAUUUAUUUAAGUUGUUUUGUGUACGGAUUCCGUGCAAUUUGGAAUUCGAACUCUAGUCGUGUUUAAUUGUAGCUCUUUGAGUAGGGUAUAAAUAUGAACCCUAGGGCCUUGUAAUCUGGGAAUCAAUCAAACACACGUUUUUACUCAUAUUCCAGCAUCUACUUUUCGACGACUUCGUCAUACUUUUUUCUUUUUAUUACGAGUUCUUAGGAAUUCGUCGACUUAAGCUCGGCGUGUUCUCGAGUUCCGCGUGAGUACCUCUUAGCCGUGACAUCCGGGCGCAUCGCUGUUGUCAGGACUAAAGUAUUCGAGUUAUCACCUUUGCCGAUAGCAAGGUCAAAUCGGCUGGCACGCCUUAACGUUUGAAUCGGGUAUUAGCCCUUUGUGUUUGCAGAUCAAUUUUGCAUCAACACAUCUUUUGGCACGCCCAGUGGGACCGAUUCAAGAUCAAGAUCAACAUGUCGAUCUCUGACCUCGAUCAAGAGAACGUCAUCCCCGUGACGGAGGCCAACCUCAAGGAUGAGCAAAAGCAAGCUAUUGCCCAAGCCAUGGAAGAGUUCAAGCAGCAAUGCCUGAGGUCUUUCAGCAUAAACAGGAGCGGCGAAGUGGUCCAGAAAGAUGCACUGCCGGCACCACGGCAGGUCACCUUUGACGCCAAUCCUGGCAAGCUUCAAGAUAUGGUUGACAAUGCCAUCAAUCGAGCGUUGAUCAACCAAGCUGGUGUACUGUCUAAUACGGUUUUCAACGCCGUGGCAAGAACUUUCAAGGAAGGACAAAUCCCGCCAGAUUAUGUGGGGCCCUCCCAUCAUCAGCCAACGGCGCCAGAGGUCACGGCUCCAUCGGCUACCUUGACGAAUGCAAGUGCACAGUCUGCCGUCCCUCCAAGUACAUUGGGGACUACUGGUGUACUAUCUGUGCCGAUGGCAACCAACCCACAGAUUUCAGUUGGGCAGCAUAGACUGACAACAGAUAUGUUGGCAUCGGCCAUGUCAGGGUUAACUCUUCCUCCCAACUGGUGGGGUUAUGGCAUGCUUCCAGAGUUGACGCCGGGAACAUCACAAGUAACUGGCACGAGGGGCAAAACUCCUAUGACAUCGGCACCUCCCAACGCGCCAGUGAACCAGAGUCCUCGGUAUACCACAACUACUACUGCAAGGCCUCACACUGGGAAUCCUCAAGAUUCAAUGUUUCAGAUGCCCAACGCAUCGGCAGAGUCAGUGUUGAUGCAACAGAGGCCUAUGGCCCAGUCGGGGUAUGUCAAUUCAACGAUGGUACCCAAUUAUCCAUCAUCGGCAGCACCUAUGCCGAUGAACGCUAAUAAUGGAUGGCUUGGACAGCAAGCCUUUCCACAAUCGCCCCAGCAGGGUUAUCAGACUACAGGGUUCCAGCAAGGGCAGGUCUAUCCCGGGUUCCAAGGUCAGGGGAUUCCCAGCCAGCCAAUAAAUUUUGGACAGCAACUCGGAGGACAGCCGAUCGGUGGACAGCAGUUUGGUAGUCCGCAGAUUGGAGGACAGGUGACCAAUACAACGUUCCAUGCAGGUCACGUCCCGAACAGACACGUGGAGGUUCGCCACCAAGUGCCAGAUCCGCAGCCGCCUCAUCGGCAAGAUGCCGAUGCGUAUUGGGCCGAUAAGAUUGCUGAAGUAAUGAGGGAACAAUUUGGGAUAAAACCCAAAGUCAACACUUAUUCUUAUCGAACACCGUAUCCUCCAGCGUAUGAUUUGAUCCCGCUUCCACAUCGGUACAAGGUACCGGAUUUUACAAAGUUUUCCGGACAGGACGACACGUCAACCAUGGAGCAUGUCAACAGGUUCAUUAUUCAAUGUGGAGAGGCUGGUAACAGGGACGAAUUGAGGGUUCGUCUAUUUUCAUCAUCAUUGUCUGGAUCGGCCUUUACUUGGUUCAUAUCAUUACCUCCUAACUCAGUAAUUACUUGGGCCGAUCUAGAGAAGCAAUUCCACAAAUACUUCUUCUCGGGGGUUCAUGAGAAGAAGAUCACCGACUUGGUCAAGUUGAGGCAACGUAAUGAUGAGUCGGUUGAGGGAUUUGUGCAGAGGAUACGGGAGGUCAAGAAUAAAUGCUAUAGCCUGGUUCUGGAUGAUCGGCAGCUAGCCGAUUUAGCAUUUCAGGGUUUGUUGCCACAUAUUAGGGACAAGUAUGCCUCUCAAGAGUUCGAAAGUUUAAGUCAUUUGGUGCAAAGGAUAUCUGAUCAAGACAUCAAGCCUUUCGAGCCUAAGAGGGCAUGGAAUAAGAAAGUGUUAUUUGUUGAUGAAGCAACAAGCUCAGAUUCCGAUGAGGAACCAGUAGUCGGUUUGGCAGAGUGGGUAAAAAACAAGAAGCCGAUGUCUUGUCCUUUUGGGCAGAAGGAACCAGAGAAGUUUGCCUUUGACACCGCCAAGGCCGAUAGGAUAUUUGACUUUCUACUUCAGGAAGGUCAAAUCAAACUGUCCCCUAACCAUGUGAUCCCAUCGGCAGAAGAGUUGAAGAGGAUGAGAUAUUGCAAGUGGCAUAAUGCAACUUCCCAUGACACCAACGAGUGCAAAGUAUUCAGACAGCAGCUGCAAUCGGCUAUAGAAUCCGGGAGAAUCAAGUUUGAUAGUUCCAAAGCCCAGAAGCCGAUGAAGAUAGACCAACAUCCUUUCCCGACAAACAUGUUGGAUGCUAAGGGGAAGGCUAAGGUCUUAACGUCGGAGAUAGCUGAGAAGAGUGCAUCGGUAGAUCCUCAGCAUCAAGUUACUACUGCCGAUGCAAGAAGUAAGGGCUUGGUCUAGGAAGGAACUAGCUCAGGAAGACCUCCUCGAUCUGGUAUCGUCAUAACUCAUAGAAGGCCUCGGAAAAAUUGGCAACAAUGGGAAGAUCGGUAUCGGCGCCAGCAGGAGGAUUAUCGACGGGAAGAAGAAAGACGCCGACAGGAGUGGAAUCGGCACAGGGAUCAUUGGAAUUGUCCAUUCUUCAUCCAUUGUUGGGAGGAAAAUAUUAAGCUUCCUACUGUCAGAGACUGCCCUGAGUGCAAUGGUUAUGAUCGGUACGAUAGGACCGAUCGGCAUUAUCAUGAUGAUGAACGGCGAUUUGAUGGGCCGAUCAGAGGAAGGGUGUCAGUUCAUGACCGGCUGGGGGGCAGAUUUAGUGGGCACGACAGACUUAGUUACCGUGUCCAGUAUUUUCCCAGGGACCAAGAAGAGCUCGAGGAAAUGGCUGAUGUGCGGGUUCCCGAUGAAUUCAUAUUUUGCAGGGAUGCUAACACGCAUCAUAUGGAGUCAAGGGAGAACCGACGCCCUACGGCAAGGCAAAGACCACUUCCUCCAUGGUGCCCUGGAGGAUUGACCAAAACGCAGAAAAGGAGAUUGCAACGUGAAAGGCAAGAGGAACUAAACAAGGGAGGGAACUCUGGAAGUCGGCAGCCGUCAGACACUAAGAGGGAAGGUCCAUCGGCAGGUGUCAACAUGGUCUUCAUGUUGCCGAUGGAGUUUCUUGCACCAGCCAGUGAUGAUGAGUUGGAAUUUUCUGAUCAGAUAGCUCAGUUGGCUCUGGAUCCGAUGACGGCUAUCUUUGAGAAACCUGCCGAUGACGAGAGGCAGCAUCUUAAAGCUCUGUUCCUCAAAGGAAGGGUUGAUGGGCAGCCGAUGACUAAGAUCCUAGUUGAUGGUGGAGCUGCUAUUAAUAUUAUGCCGUAUGCGGUAUAUCGGAAGCUUGGGAAAGGGGAUCAAGAUUUGACCAAGACCGAUAUGAUGCUCAAAGACUUUGAAGGAAACGUGUCUCCAGUCAAGGGGGCGAUAUGUGCAGAGUUGACCAUCGGCAGCAAAACCUUGCCAACAACUUUUUUCGUGAUCAGCGGAAAAGGUGCCUAUAAUUUACUAUUGGGGAGAGAUUGGAUUCAUGCCAAUUGUUGUGUCCCAUCGACAAUGCAUCAGUGCUUGGUUCAGUGGGUAGGUGACAAGAUUGAGAUCGUCCCAGGGGAUUCUUCUUAUGUUAUCGCAUCGGCAGAAGCGGAUACUUAUGAAAGGACUAGGUGCAUUUCAGGAGAAGUUUGGGAGAAAGAUUUUCUCAAAGUUGCCGAUUAUGAGAUUCCACCGAUCCAAGCAGUCGGUUCUGACGACGGUUUUUAAUGGAUAGAUUCGCCGAUGAUGGAAAAUUAGGUCAGGGAUUCACAUCGGCCGAUGAUUUGGUAGAAGUAGAUAUCGGUAGUGGUGAUAAGCCUAGGCCUACCUUUAUUAGUGCUAAAUUAGAUCCCGAGUGUAAGCAACAAUUGACUAGUUUGUUAAAGGAAUAUAAAGAUUGCUUUGCUUGGGAUUAUACCGAGAUGCCUGGUUUAGACCGAUCAAUUGUUGAACAUCGGUUGCCCAUCAAGUCUGGAUUUCGGCCACAUCAGCAACCAGCCCGCCGAUGUAAUCCUAACAUUCUACCUGAUAUUAAGGCCGAAAUCACUAAACUUAUUGAAGCUAAGUUUAUUCGGCAGUGUCGGUAUGCCGAAUGGAUUUCCAAUGUCGUUCCGGUUUACAAGAAAAACGGGAAGCUUCGGGUGUGCAUUGAUUUCAGGAAUCUCAAUAAAGCUACACCGAUGGAUGGAUACCCAAUGCCUGUCGCCGAUCUACUGGUUGAUGCUGCAGCCGGCCAUCGGGUCAUCAGCUUCAUGGAUGGUAAUGCAGGUUACAAUCAAAUAUUCAUGGCAGAGGAGGAUAUUCCAAAAACCGCAUUCAGGUGUCCUGGUCAUGUUGGGCUAUUUGAAUGGAUAGUUAUGACUUUUGGGUUAAAGAAUGCUGGCGCUACUUAUCAAAGGGCUAUGAAUUUUAUAUUUCAUGAGUUCAUCGGCAAGAUCGUAGAGAUUUAUAUUGAUGAUGUGGUGGUUAAGUCUGGAGAUUUCUCAAAACAUCUUACCGAUUUACGAAAAGUGUUGGAGUGCACAAGGAAGCAUGGAUUGAAGAUGAAUCCCAACAAGUGUGCAUUUGGCGUAUCGGCAGGGCAGUUUCUUGGUUUCAUGGUACAUCAGAGGGGUAUUGAAAUUAGUCGAAGAUCUAUUGAUGCCAUCAAUAAAAUAGUGGCCCCUACCAAUAAAACCGAGCUCCAAUCCUUGAUCGGCAAGGUAAAUUUAUCAGAAGAUUUAUAUCGAAUUUAUCUGGGAGGAUUCGUGCGUUCAGUCCUCUUCUUAAAUUGAAAGCCGAUCAAGAAUUUAUUUGGGGAGAAGAACAGCAGUUGGCUCUGGAUGAAAUCAAGAAAUAUCUAGUAAAUCCUCCAGUUCUAGUUCCACCUCAACAAGGGAAGCCCUUCAGAUUGUAUUUAUCUACCGAUGGAUCGGUUAUCGGUUCAGCUUUAGUUCAAGAAUUUGAAGGGAAAGAGAGGGUAAUUUAUUAUUUGAGUAGGAGGUUGAUUGAUGCUGAAACCAGGUAUUCGGCCAUUGAGAAACUGUGCUUAUGCUUAUAUUUUUCAUGCGUCAAGUUGAGACAUUACCUGUUAUCGGCCGAAUGCGCUGUUGUUUGCAAAGAUGACGUGGUUCGAUACAUGUUGUCUAUGCCGAUUAUGAGUGGUAGGAUCGGUAAAUGGAUUUUAGCGCUGUCGGAGUUCGAUUUGCGUUACGAAUCGGCUAAGGCAGUCAAAGGGCAGAUUAUGGCCGAUUUUGUGACUCAACAUUGCGGUCCAGUGGAAACCUUGGAAAUUGUGCCCUGGACGUUCUUCUUUGAUGGGUCUACCUGUGACCGGGGGGCAGGAAUCGGCAUUGUAUUGGUUUCCCCUAAGGGGAGGAAGUAUGAGUUUUCCUUGCCGAUUGUUGCCACUUCAACAAAUAAUCAGGCUGAGUAUCAAGCUCUGAUCAAGGGAUUGGAGUUGUUAAGAGAAGUUCGUGCUGAUGCUGUUGAAAUAUUCGGGGAUUCUAUGUUGGUUAUAAAUCAAUUGGCCGGAAGAUAUGAAUGCCGAAGUGAAGCUCUCAUGACUUAUUUCGAGAGAAGUAUGCAACUUUUAAAGGAAUUCAAGGAUUUCCGAUUGGAGCAUGUUCCCCGAUUACAUAAUGAAGACGCUAAUCGGUUAGCUCAGCAUGCUUCGGGAUACCAGCCAACGAUUAAUGCGACAUCGGCAGUCGGUGCCGGUGAUUGGAGGAAAGAAAUUAUUGAUUAUCUAAAAGAUCCAUCCAAAAAAGUUGAAAGACGGGUUCGAUUUCAAGCAACCAAGUAUGUGCUCCUUGAAAAUGAAUUGUAUUAUCGAACUAUUGACGGAAUUCUUCUCCGAUGCUUGGGUGACGAUGAAGCUAGAAGUUUGAUGGGGGAAAUCCAUGAAGGAGUGUGUGGAGCGCAUCAGUCGGCUUUUAAGAUGAAGUGGAUGAUUCGGAGGAAUGGAUAUUUUUGGCCGACCAUACUCGAGGAUUGCUUUAAGUAUUUCAAAGGAUGUCAAGGUUGUCAAAAGUUUGGAAACAUUCAAAGAGCACCCGCAUCGGCUAUGAAUCCCAUCAUAAAGCCUUGGCCGUUCCGGGGAUGGGCUAUCGAUCUGAUCGGCCAGAUUUAUCCACCAUCUAGCAAAGGGCAUAAGUUUAUUCUAGUUGCCACUGAUUAUUUCACUAAGUGGGUUGAAGCCAUUCCUCUGAAAAAAGUCACAUCGGCCAAUAUGAUUGAUUUUGUAAAGGAGCAUAUUAUUUACCGAUUUGGGAUCCCUCAAACGAUUACUACCGAUCAGGGCACUAUGUUCACGUCGGGGGAGUUCGAUGAAUUCGCAAUCGGUAUGGGAAUUAAAGUGUUGAAUUCUUCUCCUUACUAUGCUCAAGCCAAUGGGCAGGCCGAAGCGUCUAACAAAGGAAUUAUCAAGCUUAUUAAACGAAAGAUUGAAGAAAAUCCUAGGCGGUGGCAUACGUUAUUAAAUGAAGCAUUGUGGUCUUAUCGGAUGGCUUGUCAUGGAUCAACCAAGGUGUCACCUUAUCAAUUGGUGUAUGGACAUGAUGCGGUGUUGCCUUGGGAAAUUAAGGCUGGAUCUAGGCGAUUAUCUUUUCAAGACCAAUUAACUACCGAUGAUUAUGCCACUUUGAUGACCGAUGAAUUAGAUGAUCUAGCAGGGCAUCGGUUAAAGGCUUUAAUGAGUAUAGAGGAAAAUAAGAGGAGAGUUGCUAGAUGGUAUGAUAAGAAAGUAAAGACUAAGGAGUUUGCCGAUGGGGAUUUAGUAUGGAAGUUGAUUUUGCCAGUCGGGACUAAAAGUUCGAAGUUUGGGAAGUGGUCUCCUAAUUGGGAAGGUCCUUAUCGGAUAAGACACUCGGCUCCUGGUAAUGCCUAUAUUCUAGAAACUCUCGAAGGAGUUGAAUUUCCCAGAGCAUUAAAUGGCAAAUAUUUAAAGAAGUACUACCCCAGCAUAUGGGUCGAUGCAUGAAAGUUUAAGUGCCGAUAACACUCCUAUCGGCUGGAUUUAAAUGUUUGGGGGCAGACUUAAUGGUUCAAAAGAUACCGAUAACAGUCUUAUCGGCUAGACUAAAAGCUAAAGGCGGGAAAACAAAGGUGUGUUGCCGAUGAAAGCUUCAGACGUUCAGCAACGCUUGGAUUGUCGAUAUGGCGCGCAGCCGGAUCUGAUUGGCUGUCUCUAUCUCGUUGAUAUCAUCAUCGGCAGAACCUUCUAUCGGCUUCAGCUUCCUCUUCAACUGCAGCGCUUUGCGACCAUGGACGUUUCGUUCUUGUUCAAGGUGCUUGAUGGUCUCCGGCAGUUGACUCUCUUCUUGCUGGGCCUGGGACAGAGCAUCCUCUACUUGCUUGAGUUCGACCAGCAAAGCUUCUCUUUUUGCCGAUAGAUCGGACACUUUCUGCUUCAGUGCAUCACCUGAGGACUUUAAGGUGCCGAUGUUCUUAUGUUUCUCAUCGGCUAAGAGUUUUUCUUUCAUCAUCUCCUCAGAAAGCUGGAUUUGAGCGGUUCUAUCGGCAAGGCGUCGAGUGGCUCUCUGGUACUGUAGCUGGCGGCUUUCUAGGUGUGCAGCGUGGAAGAGGGUUUCUUCAGCAUCGGCAGGAAUUUGGCCUCUGAGGGUUUUGAACAGAGCCUUGGCUGGGUCAGAAUCGUUGACCAGUUGAGCUGUGUCUUGAUGAAGUAUAGCCGAUAGCUCCUCCAGCUUAGCCUUGGUUUCUGCCGAUACAGUCCCAAUUGCCCGAGAGGAGCUUGCUUCCUCACCCUCUUCUUCGAAGAUAUCAAUGGCGAAGGAGAAUAAGCUAUCGGGAGAAUCUUGUUCCUAAAAAUGAGAAUGAAAUAAGUCAUUUUUAUGGUCAAAGCUUCGGCAGAUGAUAUUGGUGGAAAAGUUGGAUGACUUACUUGUUUCAAGGCAAUUUCUUGCCUUUGACUCAAAGAUAUCGAUGGAGCCACAGGUUGAUCGGCAAAUGUUGCCGAUGGAACGACAUCGACUGAAAGAAGACAGGAAGAGUUAUGAGACUAAAUGAAAAUGGGUUUAUCGGCGGAAGUAUUGUUGAAAUAUGUUACCCGGAGGAGAAACGACAGUUGUCUGAAUCGGGGAAACCGCCGAUGAUAUAACUGGGCCUGCCGGGCCAGUUGUUUGUUCACCUACGUCAGCUGAUGUACCUUCUGUUUGAGGUUCUUCCUGCUGGGGUUCUUCCAUCUGUGGUGCUCCCUGCAUUGGUUGGGGAGAUGGUGCUUGCUGUGUCUGGACUUCUGGAGAAGAAGGGGAAGAUUCCACCGGGAUCGGAGACACCGGAGGAGGAGGAGGAGUUGCCACUUUCUGGCGCUUUGUUCCAGCCUUAGCACUUUGGGUGCCCUUCCUCUUUGGCUGGCUAGAUUUGGAGGCAUCGGUGCCUUGGCGUUUGGCUUUUGUCGAUGCACCAGUUUGCUGCAACGACAAAAAGGGGUUUAUGAGCGCAGAUAGUCGAUACAAAGAUAGUCAGCAUAAAUGAAAAGGGUUUAGCAAAUUACCUUAAAAGCUUGCGCCAGAGUGGAAGCAGCUACCGUUGGCGAUGUCUGAGGUUUUCUGGUGGUAACUUUCUUGAGGCGCGCACCCCGAUGCACGAUGGAAGCCAGAGUGGGAGCAUUGUGGCCGAUUGAGGAGAUCGGACCUGAUGGGAACAGGUCGAUCGGUUUGCCACUCCUGCUAACCGAUGGAGGGGUGUUGUCGACCUACAAAAGGAAUACAGGGAUAAGUUACCGAUGGAAAUAGUAUUAGAAAAUGAGACAUCAGUUUAAAAUACUUACAGUGUCAUCAGGGACUUCGUAUUUGGGGUCGAUCAUGCCGCGGUAUGAGAGGACCGAUCUGCAGAAUAGACUCUCUUUCCAUUCUGCCCACCAUAGCUUGUAUGCCUGAGUGAUAAAGGCAGCUGGAACCCAUUCUGACAGAUCUACAUCUGUAUCGGCAUUUGAUGGUAGCUGGGCUACUCGAAUCCACUCGAGAAGGUUGGUGAUGGGUUCUCUGGGCUUUAUCACAUCGGCAUAAGGAAGUGCAAUCGGCAACUGGCCGAAAGCUAGUUGACGAGCUAAUGCCGAUGGAUUGUAAAAUUCAUAGGUUUGGGGAGAGGUUUUUGUGCUACCAAAGAAAUUCACUGGUAUGGCCCUGGGAGUCACAAUUGCCAUCAUCACCUCAUUAUCCCUAUCGAGAGCUUCAUCAAAUGGAUUGAAGGUUAGAGGGAGCAUGCUGUCUGGGUCAUCAUAGGCCAACCAUGGUCGUUCAUCUCUGGCCAAUCCCUCAUACAAAGUCUCGAAGAAUCGGCCGAUCUGAUCCGGAUUGUUCCCUGAACCGGGUAAGACUAUAACGGCUUCGCCAAAGUUUAAGGGGGCACGCGUUGCCGAUUCUUCUUCACCCAACACAUGAUUUUCAGCUAUAUCUCUUGGGAAGUGCUGUGAGAACAAGUUGAAAUCAAGGCGCUUAUGCAGGUGCAGAUUGAGCCACAUAUUAAUGAACCACCAGGGGCCUCCCAAGUUGCCGAUGGAUUGGCCAAGCAGGAGUUUCUGGGCUACCUGAUGAAGAAGGUGGUAAACUGCGCUGAGCAAAUAUCGGCCGAGGGGAAAUUGGCCACCGCUAGCCAGUCUUUCUGCUGCCGACAGAUAGACAGAAGUUGGUCCUGCCGAUCGACCACAGAAUACGAACUUGUCCAGCCACAUGUUCAGAAAGGUGGUUUGCUCUUUUAUGGUGACAGGCCCUUUCCCGCGGUACUUCUGAAUGUACCCUGACCAACCGCCGAUAGCGCGAGUCUCCACUUUGGCACUGGGGCAGUAUCAAAAAAGUGGGUGCUAUCGGCGGAAGAUAUGUCUAGUCCAGUGAGCAUGGCUACAUCGGCAAGGGUAGGAGAAGCAGGGCCGUGGCCAAAAACAAAAGCAUUGAGGGUAUCUGACCAAAAAUAAGACGCAGCUAUCAACAGCGACUCGUUCUUGUGCAUAUCGGCAAUGGAUAGCCUGAUGCAUUGGGCUAGCUUCCUUUCACCCCACUGGACUUCAUUCGAAUUACUGACUCUUAAGAACCAGUCUUUCCACCCUACAGUAGGGCUGGGCCAAGAGCGAAAGGUGUCUUUCCACAGAUCUAAAGAGAAGUUUUCGGCCCUAAAAGGAAUCCUGUUGGUUUCUGCAUUAAUAAGGUCGGUUGGAUCUGGAUUCCCUAGAGGGCCGAGGCACUGAAGGUGUGGUUGAUCGGUAGGAAUGACAAUUUUGUUGGACAACUCCUAGUGUUUUGGGGAAUAAAAUACAAAGAAAAAGGGAAAAGGAAGAUAUUCAGUAAAAUGAAUCGCAGAUGAACAGGAAUGCGAGAAAAGGUACAGGAGAUGAGAUGGAAAUCUGACCUCAGGGACAACGAAGCCAAUGGCCAUCUUGUCGUGAAGAGGACGUUGGAGGGCACCGGAGUCGAUGAAGAGGAAUGCUUGUCGAAGAUCUUGAGGGUUGUAAAUGGCGCCGCCGCUGGAAAAGCAAAGUUGGACGGUAGAAUGGUGUAAUGGGGGAGGAGUACCCAAGAAGGAACUAUUUAUAGGACAAAAUGGGCAAGGGCAAAUCCGACUUAUUUCUCUGCCGCAUCCGAGAAAUCCGAGGGUACUCAGGUGGAUAUGGUAACUGUUCGCACGGUAAUCCAGGGAUUGUGUAGGUGAUUUGACGGGAAGCGGUCAUUAUCUGAAGAUAUUUUACUGUGCAAGAUCUCCUGGUCGGUCCAUCGGCAACAUUCUAUAACGGUCAUAUUGCCGAUGGGCGAAUAGAGGGGAAAUGACCGUUUGUGCGAAUAUCCUGGUCAAAACAUCGGCAGAUCUUUGUAACGGUAUUGUUGCCGAUGUACGGCUGAGAGAAAUGCCCGUUUAGGAAGUUGGAGAUUUUGAAGAAUCUGCGGAGGAAUAAGAUCAGAGUUGUUCAGAUUGAGGUUGUCGGUUACCAGAUUAGAAGCAUUAAUUGCGGGAAAGGCGUCAUUACUGCAGAGAAUUUCGGAGCAUUAAUAGUUUUAUACUCCGAAACUGGGGGGCAUGUGUUGACACCGUUUUUGGGCACGUGUAUAGGAUGACGGGAUAAGGUGGCAGUAUGCUGUUUACAGGAUGAGUUGCCGAUGAGGACAGUUGCCGAUGAAGGAGAGGUUGAAUGUGACUAGGUCCGCGGGCAGUAAUGUGUUUAUGCCGAUGGCUAUAAUGGGGGAGUUUGCCGAUGACCAUGGUAAGAAGUCUGCCGAUGACCAUGGUAAGGAGUCUGCCGAUGAUACGGAGGAGGAGUCCGGGAACUGUUGAUCGGUUUAUGGAAGAGUUUUAGUUCGUCACGGGAGAUAAUUUUGUUAUUUCCUUAUUUAUUUAAGUUGUUUUGUGUACGGAUUCCGUGCAAUUUGGAAUUCGAACUCUAGUCGUGUUUAAUUGUAGCUCUUUGAGUAGGGUAUAAAUAUGAACCCUAGGGCCUUGUAAUCUGGGAAUCAAUCAAACACACGUUUUUACUCAUAUUCCAGCAUCUACUUUUCGACGACUUCGUCAUACUUUUUUCUUUUUAUUACGAGUUCUUAGGAAUUCGUCGACUUAAGCUCGGCGUGUUCUCGAGUUCCGCGUGAGUACCUCUUAGCCGUGACAUCCGGGCGCAUCGCUGUUGUCAGGACUAAAGUAUUCGAGUUAUCAUCUUUGCCGAUAGCAAGGUCAAAUCGGCUGGCACGCCUUAACGUUUGAAUCGGGUAUUAGCCCUUUGUGUUUGCAGAUCAAUUUUGCAUCAACAACUAUGCAAUAAAUGUCUUGUAAGUAUGUAUUAGCUGUCUCCCACCUAUGAGCUCCAGAUAUCAAAACCUUAUUAGAGUAGGGCGAGAGAGAAGGCAAUGCCACUAUGCUUCAUACUACAAAUACCACAUACUUUGAGAGAAGGCAUACACCUCUACUGCCUUGGUAAGGAUCCAGAAAUACCACAAAAGAGAGACUAGAGAGAGUCAUACAAGGAAUCUCUGAGUUUUAUUUGAAAAUCUGCAAAAACUUCAGAGCUAUAGUUAAUCGAAGAACAAGAGACAUGGUGCUUGACUAGACUGUUCUAUCUUUUAACUACUCAAGACAGAAGUGAAGGUUACAAGUCCCAUGGUGAAAGGUAAAUGAGUAAGUUUUAAGUCUUAACAGUUUACUCUAACUAGAGAUGAGAUCUUGUUUAAACACAUGUGUAUCUUUAAGUUAUGAAACCACUGCAGAAACUCUUGAGUUCAUCUUUGCUCAGGGACGAGCAAAGGUUAAGCUUGGGGGAGCUUGUUGACGGUCCUUAAUGCUCACAAUUAACUAUCAAUUAAUCAUAGAAAAGGAUCCAAAUGCAACCAACACCUAGACUUAGGGUUUUAUCUGACAGAAUUCCACGAGUUUUGGUGUUUGUCUAUUUCUGCAAGGGGUUAUCAGGAAUUAUGGAAGAAAGGCCCACACGUCGGGUUUACAUAGAGAUAUUAACGUGCCGCGCAAUUUUCUAUCAUCUAGAAGACUCGAGAAGCCACGGGACCGAAGCGGAGGCCGAGAGGACACAGGGACAGGGCGCCCGCCCACCUCUUUCCACCAAUCAGGGUGAAGUUCGGGGAUCAUGCUCCACCGACCUAAUACUUCAAGGAAAACCACACGAUCAAUGUCGGUUUGAUCCGACGGCCCAGAUUCACUUGAAGGGACUAUAAAACCAGACCCCCUGGCCCCUGGAGAUCAUACCUCUUCUACAGAAUAAAAGCUAGGGUUUCAAUUCUUCAUCCAAGUAGAGAGGAUCCCUCUAGUUCUUCUAGUUCUACCUCUAGUUCAUCUAGAUCUAGUUCUAGUUCAUCUAGUUCUAGUUCUAGUU
rnacentral:lncRNA from 1 species